CGCAUCUGUGCAUGCAGCAUAUCAAUAAGCGGAGGAAAAGAAACUAACAAGGAUUCCCUUAGUAACGGCGAGUGAGGCGGGAAGAGCUCAAAUUUGAAAUCUUCAAGGUUUUACCUUGACGAAUUGUAGUUUAAAGAAGUGUUUUCUGUUGAAGUUUUGGUAAAAGUUCUUUGGAAUAGGACAUCAUAGAGGGUGAGAAUCCCGUAUUUGACCAUUAUUUUCAGCUGUGUGAUACACUUUCAAAGAGUCGGAUUGUUUGGGAAUGCAGUCCAAAAUGGGUGGUAAAUUUCAUCUAAAGCUAAAUAUUGGCGAGAGACCGAUAGCGAACAAGUACCGUGAGGGAAAGAUGAAAAGAACUUUGAAAAGAGAGUUAAACAGUACGUGAAAUUGUCAAAAGGGAAGCGUUUGACACCAGUGUUGUUUUCUCGAAAAUCAAUUAAAAAGAGUUAGAUUUUGUUGUGUAUUGACCUUAACAGCUUGCAUUUCAAUUUUCUUGCUUUUUUUAAUGCACUUUUCGUUUAACAAGUCAACAUCAGUUUCUUUUGUUGUAAAAAGGUCAUUGGAAGGUGGCUUUCUUUUCGGAGAAAGUGUUUAUAGCCUUUGACUCCUGCAAUCGGAGAGACUGAGGUCUGUAGCGUAGAUCCUUCGGGGUUAGAUACAUUUGUGCUAAGUUAUAGCUUUUUAUAGACAACUUGUUGACUAUGAUUAGUCUUGUAGCUUACUCGCUUAUGCUAUUUUACCUACGCUUAGGAUGUUGACACACGCGCGUGCUCG
rnacentral:rRNA from 1 species